rnacentral:rRNA from 1 species
AUUGAACGCUGGCGGCAUGCUUUACACAUGCAAGUCGAACGGUAACAGGUUAAGCUGACGAGUGGCGAACGGGUGAGUAAUGCAUCGGAACGUGCCCGAUCGUGGGGGAUAACACUUCGAAAGAAGUGCUAAUACCGCAUACGAUCUGAGGAUGAAAGCGGGGGACCGUAAGGCCUCGCGCGAUCGGAGCGGCCGAUGUCAGAUUAGGUAGUUGGUGGGGUAAAGGCUCACCAAGCCGACGAUCUGUAGCUGGUCUGAGAGGACGACCAGCCAAACGGGGACUGAGACACGGCCCAGACUCCUACGGGAGGCAGCCGUGGGGAAUUUUGGACAAUGGGCGCAAGCCUGAUCCAGCAAUGCCGCGUGCAGGAAGAAGGCCUUCGGGUUGUAAACUGCUUUUGUACGGAACGAAAAGGUUUGGCCUAAUAAGCUGAGCUCAUGACGGUACCGUAAGAAUAAGCACCGGCUAACUACGUGCCAGCAGCCGCGGUAA